GAUGGGUUUCCUCGCAGCCUCCUCACAAAAUAAUACCCUGUUUUUUUUUCCUUGUCCAUAUUUUUAUUUCAAAUAGGACUCACAGCCCUGUCCUAAUGGCCCAGAAUCCUCAUCUCUUUGGCCUAGAUGUGUUUCAUCCCAUGAGAGUAAUUAAGUUACCUGUAAAUAUCCACUUCCUGUCCAUUCAUCCCUGCAACAUGAGCAUGUUUCUUACGGACGUCUUCACUUCUGUCCUUCAUCUGCUGCGAUCCUGUUUGCAAUGCAGAUAGGCUGACUAUAAAUCAUAAUUAUCUCACUUACUGUCAUGCUGAGAAAUAUAGACGCUUGCCUGAGAUGUGAGCUCCAGGCCGUCAGUGACCGUUCAGCACUCGUGUGCCCUCAAAGAACAGCUUCAUCUUGGCCAGUCCUUCGGGAAUUUGCCACUGGCUCUUAUGUAGAUAGUGUUUAAACAUGAGGUAUAAUUCAUUUUGGGUAUAUCAAACAUGCAAUAUUUGGUCUUAUUAAUCUAUUACUUGUUCCAGAGCAAAUAGAUUUAGCUCAAUGGCUAUAUUAAGUUUCAUAACUUUAUAUUUACAUUGAAAUUAAAUCCUGUACUAACUAGAGCGCUGCUAUUGUACGUUUGACUGAACUGUUUGCUUUUGUUUAUUUCCUAUUUUACUUUUUAUGCUGUUAUAAUGACUAUUGUUGUUAAUUUAAAUAUUAUUGUUCAAUAAAUAA